rnacentral:rRNA from 1 species
GAUGAACGCUGGCGGCGUGCCUAAUACAUGCAAGUCGAGCGAACAGACGAGGAGCUUGCUCCUCUGACGUUAGCGGCGGACGGGUGAGUAACACGUGGAUAACCUACCUAUCAGACUGGGAUAACUUCGGGAAACCGGAGCUAAUACCGGAUAAUAUAUUGAACCGCAUGGUUCAAUAGUGAAAGACGGUUUUGCUGUAACUUAUAGAUGGAUCCGCGCCGCAUUAGCUAGUUGGUAAGGUAAAGGCUUACCAAGGCAACGAUGCGUAGCCGACCUGAGAGGGUGAUCGGCCACACUGGAACUGAGACACGGUCCAGACUCCUACGGGAGGCAGCAGUAGGGAAUCUUCCGCAAUGGGCGAAAGCCUGACGGAGCAACGCCGCGUGAGUGAUGAAGGUCUUCGGAUCGUAAAACUCUGUUAUUAGGGAAGAACAAAUGUGUAAGUAACUAUGCACGUCUUGACGGUACCUAAUCAGAAAGCCACGGCUAACUACGUG